rnacentral:rRNA from 1 species
AACGAACGCUGGCGGCACGCCUAACACAUGCAAGUCGAACGAAGGCUUCGGCCUUAGUGGCGCACGGGUGCGUAACGCGUGGGAAUCUGCCCCUCGGUUCGGAAUAACAGUUAGAAAUGACUGCUAAUACCGGAUGAUGACUUCGGUCCAAAGAUUUAUCGCCGAGGGAUGAGCCCGCGUAAGAUUAGGUAGUUGGUGGGGUAAAGGCCUACCAAGCCGACGAUCUUUAGCUGGUCUGAGAGGAUGAUCAGCCACACUGGGACUGAGACACGGCCCAGACUCCUACGGGAGGCAGCAGUGGGGAAUAUUGGACAAUGGGCGAAAGCCUGAUCCAGCAAUGCCGCGUGAGUGAUGAAGGCCUUAGGGUUGUAAAGCUCUUUUACCAGGGAUGAUAAUGACAGUACCUGGAGAAUAAGCUCCGGCUAACUCCGUGCCAGCAGCCGCCGUAACAC